rnacentral:rRNA from 1 species
UACGUAGGGGGCAAGCGUUGUCCGGAAUCAUUGGGCGUAAAGAGCGUGUAGGCGGCCCGAUAAGUCCGCCGUGAAAGUCCAGGGCUCAACCCUGGAAUGCCGGUGGAAACUGUCGGGCUGGAGUCCGGAAGAGGCGAGUGGAAUUCCUGGUGUAGCGGUGAAAUGCGCAGAUAUCAGGAGGAACACCAAUGGCGAAGGCAGCUCGCUGGGACGGUACUGACGCUGAGACGCGAAAGCUAGGGGAGCAAACAGG